rnacentral:rRNA from 1 species
CAGCAGCCGCGGUAAUACGUAGGGUGCGAGCGUUAAUCGGAAUUACUGGGCGUAAAGCGUGCGCAGGCGGUUCGUUAAGACAGAUGUGAAAUCCCCGGGCUUAACCUGGGAACUGCAUUUGUGACUGGCGAGCUAGAGUAUGGCAGAGGGGGGUAGAAUUCCACGUGUAGCAGUGAAAUGCGUAGAGAUGUGGAGGAAUACCGAUGGCGAAGGCAGCCCCCUGGGCCAAUACUGACGCUCAUGCACGAAAGCGUGGGGAGCGAACAGGAUUAGAUACCCCGGUAGUCCCUGUCUCUUAUAC